UCGGGUUGUAAACUGCUUUUGUACGGAACGAAAAGCUUUGGGUUAAUACCCNGGAGUCAUGACGGUACCGUAAGAAUAAGCACCGGCUAACUACGUGCCAGCAGCCGCGGUAAUACGUAGGGUGCAAGCGUUAAUCGGAAUUACUGGGCGUAAAGCGUGCGCAGGCGGUUUUGUAAGACAGAGGUGAAAUCCCCGGGCUCAACCUGGGAACUGCCUUUGUGACUGCAAGGCUAGAGUACGGCAGAGGGGGAUGGAAUUCCGCGUGUAGCAGUGAAAUGCGUAGAUAUGCGGAGGAACACCGAUGGCGAAGGCAAUCCCCUGGGCCUGUACUGACGGCUCAUGCACGAAAGCGUGGGGAGCAAACAGGAUUAGAUACCCUGGUAGUCCACGCCCUAAACGAUGUCAACUGGUUGUUGGGUCUUCAUUGACUCAGUAACGNAGCUAACGCGU
rnacentral:rRNA from 1 species